AUUGAACGCUGGCGGCAGGCCUAACACAUGCAAGUCGAGCGGUAGAGAGGAGCUUGCUUCUCUUGAGAGCGGCGGACGGGUGAGUAAUGCCUAGGAAUCUGCCUGGUAGUGGGGGAUAACGUUCGGAAACGGACGCUAAUACCGCAUACGUCCUACGGGAGAAAGUGGGGGAUCUUCGGACCUCACGCUAUCAGAUGAGCCUAGGUCGGAUUAGCUAGUUGGUGAGGUAAAGGCUCACCAAGGCGACGAUCCGUAACUGGUCUGAGAGGAUGAUCAUUCACAGUGGAACUGAGACACGGUCCAGACUCCUCCGCGGGGCAGCAGUGGGGAAUAUUGGACAAUGGGCGCAAGCCUGAUCCAGCCAUGCCGCGUGUGUGAAGAAGAUCUUCGGAUUGUAAAGCACUUUAAGUUGGGAGGAAGGUCAGUAGCUUAAUACGUUGCUGAUUUGACGUUACCGACAGAAUAAGCACCGGCUAACUCUGUGCCAGCCGCCGCAGUAACAC
rnacentral:rRNA from 1 species